ACGUCUCUCUCCAUCCACUCCCAACAGACCCUGCUCCACUACCUCUCCUCUCUCUCGUACCAGAAAAGACAAAAAAAGAAAAUAGAUAAAUGGGAACGUUACUCUCUCACUCUCAGACCACUAUUCACUCUCUCAAAAAAAAGACAAUCUCUCAAUUUCCUCUCAACUCUGAGCUCACACAAUCCCCUUCCUCUCUCGCCCCAAAUCUCUCACUCUCAAUUCUCAGCUGAAACUCUCACCGACAAACCCUCCUCUCUAAAAUCCGCCGCCACCACCUUCUACCACCACUAAACACUCACCAACCGUCAACCCUCCGAAUCCUUCAUCAUCUUCGUCAUCGCAACUCAACCGUUCACCGCCACCCAAAACCCCUACCGUCGCGGCGACUUCCACCUUCAAACCCUUAAACCACCUUCGAAACACCGUCAAAACCGCCGUCGCUCUCACCGGCAAACUCUCUCCAUCUACCUUCAAAUCGCGCCCUCACCGACAAACCCACACGAAACCUACUCAUCUCACAAUCUCCAAGCCGUCACCAUCCAUCAUCGCUUCCGUCCACAAUCGCGACCCAUCUUCACCGCUAAAACCUAAUCUCUAAAUCCGCCGUCAUCACCGUACCGAAGCCGUCGGUGACUUGUCAGUUCGCAACUAUCUUCGACCUUCAUCAACAGUUUGGGAUUGUGUUGUGUAAUUUUUCUGUUUUUUCAGGGAAAGUCUGAAGCUUUAGAGCCAUGGGUCCAGCACCGGUGACGAUUACAACUAGCCUCUGUUGAUAGCUUCAAAAGGAUUUUCUUAUGAUUCUGGAAACGGUUUCAAGUCGCGCUGAUUCCUCUUCUUCCGCAACAACCACAAAGACCGUUAUUACUCUACCACUCUCAGCACGGCGUCGAAACCGCUUCUUGUCCACAUUAAAGCAAGCCGGGCAGAUUGUUGAAACACCAUGGAUACGGGGAUUGGGUGGAAGAUCUCAGGCUGUUGCUGAUGAUGUACUCCUGAAAUAAGCUCUUGACAACUAUCCGUCUGUACGGUAACAGAUCGAUUUAAGCUUAUUUUAGAAUUAUGAUUGUUUCAUGACAGUAUUUGAUAUCUCUGGAUAAUGUGUGUGUUUGUGAUUUUUAUCUUCCGAUUCGUUCUGGUGGUAGAUGGUAUCAACAUAUUUUAUGCUGAAAAUUUCGUUGAGGAUUGUAAAUUUUUUCUCUGAAUAUUGUUACUCUGUGUCGUUACUGUUUCGUUUUGUGUUGAUACUACAAUAGCCCUGUAUAUAAUCACAAUUUGCGGUGACAUACUUUGAUACCAUUUUUAUUGUACAUAUUCAACUCUUGAUUAUGACUUGUUUUAGCUAUAUCAAAAGGAUUUGUUUUGUAUUGCCUGUGAAGUUUAUAGUUGCUUGUAGUAUCUCGUUCAUUUUUCAUUUGAAUUGAGAUUUGGAUUAUGAAUACCAACGUGCUUGCUUAUACACAACUUAUGCGACUUUCAGUUUGGAUUAUAUUUGGGAAGAUAUUUUAAGUGGGAACUGUAUUAAAAUUCUGCUCUUGAAUUAUUAGAUUAGUUUGUGGAUGGAUCACUAUUGUUGGUGCAAAUGAGUUAUUAGCCCACGGCAUUAUCAGAAUUCUAAUAAUCUCAUGAUUGGUUUACAACGAUUUUCUCAAAUGCAUGUUGUUUUUAUUGCUGAAAUUUAAAUUGGAUUAUCAAUUGCCUAAUGGACUUUAUAGUGUAUAUAUAAGUCUACUUUAAUCAUAAGGCAUNAGUUCCUUCCUUGAAAACACAAACUUUAGAACCUACCCUUGGGAAUUUCUAGUAAUCAGAAAAACCCGUAUUUCUUCCUGUUAUCCUGACGUACCCGACGUGUGAAUAAUCUUAAGUCUGUAUUCCUUUGCAAAAAACAUGGCAAAAUUUCAUGCAUUUGCAUAUCAUCAACAUGCAUUGCAUAUCAUCUCCCAGAAACAAAAUCUCACACCAUGUUCUGCCCUUUGUCCAGUAAACGCUGACUACUCGACACCGGUACGAGACACGCCGCAAUUACAAGAUGACACUUGAACAGCUUGAAGCUAACCAAGUUUCGAUGAGGACCGACAUUGACUCCAUGCAGGCAAAGAUGGAUCGCUUGCUUGAGACCAUGUUACUCUUGGCUCAGAAGGAGAAGGAUGCUGAGACUAACGCCGAAGCCAGGAAAAUUGCUGCCCAAUUUGGAUCACCAUCGCUCAGUAUCCCUGGAGUGAUUGACCUUGAUGGUAACCCUAAUCAGCCUAGAGAAGGACCGAUCCCUAUUCCGAUCCCAAUGGACAAUAUAAAACCCCACGAGCAUUCUACUGUAUCUGCUCGACACGGAUCUGUGAUAUGUGAUGAAGAUCCAUAUGACGCUUUCUUCAUGCCACAGCCCGUCCAGCCUGCUGUUGGAGGUCUCCCAGACCCAGCUGUUGACAGACUCCAUGCGUUGGAGGAAAAGUUUAAGUCCUUGGAGGUUCACACUACUCCCGGUUUGGACGCCGUCGAUAUGUGCUUGGUGCCAGGCCUUGUGAUUCCACAGAAGUUCAAAGUCCCGGACUUUGACAAGUACAAAGGGAUCAGCUGCCCAAGAACACACCUCAGAGCUUACUGCCGCAAAAUGGCCGCCCACAUCAGUAAUGAUCAACUCCUGAUUCAUUACUUCCAAGAUAGUCUCAGUGGGGCAUCUUUGGAGUGGUACAUGCAACUGGAGAGAGGACAGGUCCAAUCAUGGAGAGACCUUGCUGAAGCAUUCCUCAGGCAUUAUCAGUACAACACUGAUCUAGCACCCAAUCGCACCCAACUGCAAGACAUGACUCAACGCAACAAUGAGUCAUUCAAAGAAUACGCCCAGCGGUGGAGAGAGCUAGCAGCUCGUGUUCAACCUCCUCUCUUUGACAAAGAGCUAAUUGACAUGUUUAUGGGAACCCUACACACCCAGUACAUGGAGAAGAUGGUAGGAUCCAGUUUCCCAACUUUUGCUGAGGUCGUCUCCGUGGGAGAACGAAUCGAGAGCCAGAUCAAGAAGGGGAAACUACCUUGCGCUGCUAAUGCUUCAAGUGGGAUGAAGAAACCUUAUCCUAAUCUCCCAAAGAAGCCAGAAGGUCAAACCAAUUCCAUAAUGGGAGGAGGAGGAUAUAGGGCACGCCCGUAUGCUCCUAUGCCUUAUAAUCAGGUUGCCGCUGUCGUCCCGACACCAUAUCAGCCUCCAUAUCAGCAACCCCAUCAACAACAAUAUCAACAGCCUUAUCAACAAACAGCUUAUCAGCAUCAGAAUCAACAUCGACGUGCUCCACAACCACGUCCCCCCAAUCAGCAGAGGGCAAGGAGGCCAGAAAGGCAUUUCGAUCCUUUGCCAGUAUCAUAUAGCAAGAUCCUCCCCUACCUGCUAAAGGAUGGAUCGGUCGUUCUGAAGGAGAUAACACCUGUAACUCCACCAUAUCCUCCAGGCUACGACGCCAAUGCUCACUGUGAGUAUCACAUGGGUGCUCCAGGGCACACAAUAGAGAACUGUAAGGCUUUCAAGCACAAGGUUCAAGAUUUGGUUGACAGUAAAGCACUUACAUUCACGCCAGUGAGGCCAAACGUUGCAACAAACCCCAUGCCGGCGCAUGCAGAAUCAAGUGAAGCUCGAAGGUAAAGCUUCCCACCGGCCUAAACAAGCAGAGCAAUUCCGCUGAAGAACCCAGAGAUGAAGGCUUGUUCAUUUGAAUGAAGGCAAUCCUGAUGCCAUUUUUACCAUUUUGCAUUCUUGUAAUUUGAUCUUGUUUGUCUAAGUACUGUACGCUUUAAACAUUGUUAUUUGUAUUUGGUUUUGUUAAUGGGAUGGUUAUGCAUGCUUUGAAUCAAUCUUUCNGGAUGAAACCCUGCUGAUGAUGUACAGGCAUUGUUUCAAAUCCCCAAACACUGGAGAGAUAAGGAGUUAAUCCCUAGUCAACCACUUCGAGCCUAGAAGUAGGAGUUUCUUUCAGAUCUAAAAAACCUUUACGCUUAACCUGGGGCAGGGUAGUGUUCAGUUAACCUGACUACACAUACAAAUUACAAAGGUGAAGUAUCCCAUACGAGGAUCAACCAUAUGACACUCUUCACACACAUCAUGAAGUGUCGAAGGAACCAUACAAAUCCAGAAUCUAUGUCGGUUGUUCUUCAAUGACCAAUGUCCUGGCAGUCACAAUUAAAAAAAAGGUCGAAGAAAGAGCCCGCUAAGUCGAACACCCUAAAAGGAGACUUAGGCAAAAAACAGGGGCAAUCCCGAUGGAUUAAAGCUUCAAACAAAGCGGUCCAUGCAAAAGUUAGGGAUCAAAACAAAAAAUCGAAAGAGACAAUGAAAGUCCUCAACAAAAGCAAAACAAGAUUCAGUGACCACCAUACCAAAAUCAAAGGGUCGCCGACAUCCAAAAAAACGAAAUAAGGUGGCUGCCAUUCCAAGGGACUUUGAACCACCAUCUUUAUCCUUACACAUGCAAGAGAAGAAUGUGUGUGAAUUAACUGAACAUAGGAUUGGAGAUCAUCAUGAAGAAGGGGUGGGUUAAAAUAAACUUUGAGCCUUAUAUCCUUUUGUUUCAAAACCAUCGACCAACACAGCAACGCCUCAAAAGACCAAGUUGAGUAGUGGUUUAUUCUGAAAGCAUACAUACAAGUUAGUAACUGACUCCUAAAUAUUUUCCAAUAUUCUCCUCUCACUAUAUCACUCACACACUAGCUAAAUCAAGCACCGCGUUUGGACACAUGAUCCACUCGCCACACACUACCACAACACUUCCCAAAUGAAUGAUUAUUUUUCAAAACUUGCAUAACUGUUGCAUUAACAUCACCAUUUCGUAGAUAACAAUUCUUAAUUGUCAGUCAGUGCUUGACAUCGGAAAAUUCCAACAAGGAGUAAUUCAACGGGCACUUGAUUGUUGGUGCUGACACGAAUCCAGACCAUCCUGUGAAUCAGGGGCAUGGCAUCUUUUGAUCAUAUUGACCUAAGAAGUAGUCUGUGUAAGACAAAUCUCCAAGCAUCGGUUGAUCAGGGAGAAAAACACUUCAGUACUCGGCCCGUCUGAAGCAGGUCCCUCAAAGGCUAAUCAGGGGCAGACCAUAGCCAGAUUUGGACAUCAGGAAACAAACUCAGACCAUGUCAUGGGAUAAUCACUCCUAAGGUUUCUUGCAGGGAGAAUUCCUUUGAACACCCUACAAACAGGGGCAAGACAAGUUGCAAGGGGCAAAAUUCCCUUCAUAUCUUCAAGACAGUCAGGCAGAUUGCGUCAAACAUUAGUGACUGCUUGAAUUCACAACCAAAAUGUCAAAAGUUCGUACCAGUACAACAUCAUGCCUUGACAAGAAUCCUUGAGGCACGUCAAAAGCACAAUCAUCAUGCGCUGAUCACGUCGCUAUGCUCAGUUACAAGCUGGCCAAACACUUCAGAAGAAGAAACCAAGAUCUUCUCAAAGACAAAUACUCAACAUAUCAGCAAGAGAUCAAACCUGGGGCACCAAGAGUAUCCACAUCCAUUUCGUGUUCAUCAUAUCAUCAACUACUGAGUGUCGGGAAUGUCAGAUCCUUUCACCAAUCAAUAGCAUAUCCACAUUGACAAUUACCAAAAAAACCUAAAGCCCACAUUGUUGGCACCCACAUAAAACCAAAUAUAACCAACUUUGGUUUCCAGAAGAUGCAUUGCCUUUGAAAGGGGGGCCAAUCCCAAACAAACCAAUCAUUCUUUGCAUACAAACAUGCAUUUCAUGCAUCAUAUGCAUCACCUCAUACAUAAUACAUACAUAUCAUUCAUGUACAUAACACAAAUCAAGAUCCAAGGUUUAGUCGUAGGCAUACAGGCCAACCCUCAGUUGAGUCGUUAUUUUUCUCUGAGUGAGUUCCUACCCUACUAUCGGGCGUUCCCCAUUGAGUUACAUCCUUCAACCUUUUGUUGAUAAGAUGUUAUCCUCAGCUUAGUCAAACAAUGUUUCUUUAAACACCUAUUUUUUUUUUCACGUUGAGCGUCCCUCAAUGAGUCGUUUCCCAUAACCUUUUGUUGACAGAAAUUACAUCUCCCCAGAGAACAUUGGCUCUGCAACCUUUUGUUGUUGAUACCCCCAAGCAAGUCUUACCCAAUAAUGUCCCAAUACUACCCAACAAAUCGGGUUUACUGGACUUUGACAGUAGCCUUAUUUUUCCAAUAUUUUUCUCACUACCAUCCUUUUGGUGAAAGUCCAUGGAGGAAUAAUACCAGUCAUCACCUUGUUUAUGAUCACCGUUAUCCUUUUGGUAAUGGUAAAUUCUUGACAUUUGUGAUCUUACUGUCAUCCUUUUGGUGUCGAAGAUCAUUGAAGUUUUAAGCUAACCUUCAUCCUUUUGAAUCACCUUGUUUAUGAUCACCGUUAUCCUUUUGGUAAUGGUAAAUUCUUGACAUUUGUGAUCUUACUGUCAUCCUUUUGGUGUCGAAGAUCAUUGAAGUUUUAAGCUAACCUUCAUCCUUUUGGUGAUGGUGACCUCUGCAAUUAUUACACCCCACUGUCAUCCUUUUGGUGUCAGUAAUAUUUGAAGUCAUUAUAACUUAUUAUCAUCCUUUUGGUGGUAACGAGUUUCGAAGUUAUGAUUCCACCUUCAUCCUUUUGGUGAUGGUGAUUGUUGAUUCAUUAUCAUCCUUUUGGUGAUAACGAGUUCUGUUGUUUGUAGCGCCUUCAUCCUUUUGGUGAUGGUGACUAUUGACUUAUUAUCAUCCUUUUGGUGGUAACAAGUUUUGUCGUUUUAACAAUACCUUCAUCCUUUUGGUGAUGGUGAGUGUUGACUUCUUAUCAUCCUUUUGGUGAUAACAAGUUUGUGUCUUGAUCUUACCUUCAUCCUUUUGGUGAUGGCGAUCAUUUGUGUUGUCAGCUUAUUAUCAUCCUUUUGGUGGUAACUAAGUUUUGUCGUUUGACAAAUACCUUCAUCCUUUUGGUGAUGGUGAUUGUUGACUUCUUAUCAUCCUUUUGGUGAUAACAAGUUUGUGUUUUGAUCUUACCUUCAUCCUUUUGGUGAUGGUGAUCAUUUGCGUGUGUGCUUCUUAUCAUCCUUUUGGUGGUAACAAGUUUUAUCUUUUGAUUAUACCUUCAUCCUUUUGGUGAUGGUGGUUAUCAUCCUUUUGGUGAUAACAAGUUUGUGUCUUGAUCCUACCUUCAUCCUUUUGGUGAUGGUGAUCAAUUGUGUUGUGUUCUUAUUAUCAUCCUUUUGGUGAUAACAAGUUUGUGUCCUGAUUAUACCUUCAUCCUUUUGGUGAUGGUGAUUAUUGAAGUUAUCUGACUUAUUAUCAUCCUUUUGGUGAUAACAAGCUUUGUUGUUGGAUCUUACCUUCAUCCUUUUGGUGACGGUGAUCUUUGAAGUUUAUGAGUUAACUAUCAUCCUUUUGGUGAUAGCCUUGAUCCUAUACUCUCAGUAAUGGAAAAAUUUACCAGAAUGACCAUCAUCCUUUUGGUGAUAGAAAUCUGUGAAUUGUGUCUAACUUUCAUCCUUUAGGUGAUAGCGAGAUUUGUUGUUGAUCUGACCAUCAUCCUUUUGGUGAUGGCGAUCUUUGUUGCACCCACUGUAACCAUUAUCCUUUUGGUGAUGACUACCUUAAAAGCUCAGCUUAUCCAUCAUCCUUUUGGUGAUGACAAUCCUCAAAAUCAUGGUGAAUCUCUGUCAUCCUUUUGGUGUCAGAAAACCAGUCCCACCUUUGUCUUCACAUCAGAAAUAACCUGUGCCAGAUUUGAAUGUUGACUCGAGGGUUGGCAUUGAUCGAACAUCCUACCCCCAUUACCUUGGCAUCCAUUGCAUUUUCAUCUGCAUCUCUCCAUUGCAUUUCAAAGGACAAAAUUUGGAUCCUUUAGUAUUUAAUUACCUUCCACCACGAAUGUAUGAUGACCUUUAUCAUUCUUACUUUCUAGUUCAAGAUAAUUAAAUAGGGGCAGCUGUCGUACCCCAAUUUUGUCCGGGCAUUUUUAAUUUUUUCAAAAUUAAUUUCAGUUUCAUUUUUGCAUCAUACGCAUAGCAUGACAUACAUUUGCAUCAUGAAUAAACACCUAAAAUGUCAGUCAGAAGGAAUUUAUUUGAGAAUACAGAAAAAAUCGGUUGAAUCGUUAAAAUUUGAGAAAAGACUGUAUUUUUAAUAAGUAGGUUUUGUGCUGACAAUUUUAAUGUGACUGGUUUAUUUAUUAUUAUUAUUUUUUUUAUUUUUUUAUUUUCUUUCUUUUUUCGAAUUAAAUUUGUACUCGAUUUUUUUUAAUUGGUCAAAUAUUAGUUAGAGUUUUUUUUUAAAUAUUAUUUAAUUAAAUAUUAGUUAAUGUUUUUUAUAUUAAUUAGUUUUUUUAUAUUAGUUAGAUUUUUUCUAAAAUAGUAGUUAAUUUUAGUUUUUAAAUAUUAAUUAGUUUGUUUAGUUAGAUUUUGUAAAAUAUUAGUUAGAGUAUUUUUUUUUUAAUAUUAAUUAGUUUUUCUAAAUAUUAGUUAGUUUUUAAAUAUUAGUUAGAUUUUUCUUUUUAAUAUUAAUUAGUUUUUUUUAGUGUUAAUUAGUUUAAGAGUUAGUUAGCUUUUUUAUUAGUUAAUUUUUAAAUAGUAGUUAGUUAGAGUUUUUAAAAUAUUAAUUAGUUUUUUUAUUUUUUAUGAAUAUAUGUAUUUUACAUUGGAUUCCAAUCCAUAAAAAAACAAAAAAAACAAAAUCUCCCAACGUCUCUCUCCAUCCACUCCCAACAGACCCUGCUCCACUACCUCUCCUCUCUCUCGUACCAGAAAAGACAAAAAAAGAAAAUAGAUAAAUGGGAACGUUACUCUCUCACUCUCAGACCACUAUUCACUCUCUCAAAAAAAAGACAAUCUCUCAAUUUCCUCUCAACUCUGAGCUCACACAAUCCCCUUCCUCUCUCGCCCCAAAUCUCUCACUCUCAAUUCUCAGCUGAAACUCUCACCGACAAACCCUCCUCUCUAAAAUCCGCCGCCACCACCUUCUACCACCACUAAACACUCACCAACCGUCAACCCUCCGAAUCCUUCAUCAUCUUCGUCAUCGCAACUCAACCGUUCACCGCCACCCAAAACCCCUACCGUCGCGGCGACUUCCACCUUCAAACCCUUAAACCACCUUCGAAACACCGUCAAAACCGCCGUCGCUCUCACCGGCAAACUCUCUCCAUCUACCUUCAAAUCGCGCCCUCACCGACAAACCCACACGAAACCUACUCAUCUCACAAUCUCCAAGCCGUCACCAUCCAUCAUCGCUUCCGUCCACAAUCGCGACCCAUCUUCACCGCUAAAACCUAAUCUCUAAAUCCGCCGUCAUCACCGUACCGAAGCCGUCGGUGACUUGUCAGUUCGCAACUAUCUUCGACCUUCAUCAACAGUUUGGGAUUGUGUUGUGUAAUUUUUCUGUUUUUUCAGGGAAAGUCUGAAGCUUUAGAGCCAUGGGUCCAGCACCGGUGACGAUUACAACUAGCCUCUGUUGAUAGCUUCAAAAGGAUUUUCUU
rnacentral:lncRNA from 1 species